rfam:Naegleria gruberi genomic scaffold NAEGRscaffold_569, whole genome shotgun sequence.
NNNNNNNNNNNNNNNNNNNNNNNNNNNNUUGAAAAGUACUCUGGUAAGAGGGUGAAAAGAGUGUGAAAUUGCAUAGAUUUAAGCGUAACCAAGUAUCGACACCUGUAGUGUACUCUUUGGUGCAUUAAAGGUAUCCAACAACUCUGUUCUUGCUUUGCGAGGAUUGGGCUACACAUGCUAAGAAUGCCGUUGUAGAUGCGCUCUAUUAACGAAAAUCUUUUUGCUAUGCCAUUGCUUCACGGCUUUGGUGUGGUACCGGGGUCGUAGUUGAUAGGGUGUGUCGCAAACUAUCGGUCAUUAGUAUAUUGUUGGUAUGGUAUUUGGGAACGUCCCGUCUUGAAACACGGACCAAGGAGUCUAGCAUAUCUGCAAGCCGUAGCAAUUUUAAUUGUGAAGGCGUAAUGAAAGUGUAUUGUGUUAACAGCACAAACCGGGCCUUUCGGUCUGAGUUAGAGUAAAUAUGCUAGUACCCGAAAGGUGAUGAACUAUGCCCGGACUGGUUGAAGCCAGGAGAAAUCCUGGUGGAGGACCUCCCGCGGUGCUGACGUGCAAAUCGCUCGUCCGAGCUGGGUAUAGGAGCGAAAGACUCAUCGAAUCGCCUAGUAGCUGGUUCCUGCCGAAAUUUCCCUCAGGAUAGCGGAGAUUCAUAAUUAAUUUUGCCAGGUAAAGCUAAUGAUUAGAGAUCUUGGAGGUGGAUAACCUUCAAUCUAUUCUCAAACUUUAAAUGGGCAAUAUCCGGGGCUUACUUAAUGGAAGUACCGGUUUAAUAAGAAUCUCUAGUGGNCCGUGGUUUGGUAAGCAGAUCAGGUAAAGCGGGUUCAACCGUAAACAAUAAGGAAAGGCGUCCAAUACCGGUUUAAUACUCAUUAAAGGGUGUUAAUUCAUGAAGACAGCGGGACGGUGGCCAUGGAAGUCGGUAUCCGCUAAGGAGUGUGUAACAACUCACCCGCCGAAUGAAUUAGCCCCGAAAAUGGAUGACGGCUAAGCCGGUAGCCGAUCCUUAGUCCCUCUUCUAGAUUUCUUGAAGAGGGGGUAGGCAGGCGUGAUGGUUGCAACGAAGCUCUUGGGUGACUGGGAGUGGAGCGGCCAUCAGUGCAGAUCUUGGUAGUAGUAGCAACCAUUCUUACGAGUUUCAACUUCUCCAUGAGCAAUCAUGGAUUCAGAAGCUUUGAAGGUCGUUGUGGACCAGGUUUCCUUACCUCUGGCGCUCAUGUAAGGGUUAGUCGGUCCUAACUCGGUGGUUAACACUAGAAAUAGUCCUAAAGCAGGAAUUACCGAGGAAAGGGAAUCAGGUUAAUAUUCCUGAACCCGAGUCAUGGAGGAUGCCUUCGGGUGUCAAGUCUGACGCGGCGACGCGGAGUGUGGAUUAGAGCCAUGUGCGUGGAGCUCCGGUAGAGUUAUCUCUUCUCCUUAAUAGCCAACACUUGAUCAUGAAGCCUCGGUGGAAUGGCGAGUGGCGAGUAACAGAGGAGUUGCGUGCAGCAGAGAUUCUGUUAUUUGCGGGUUAGAAGGGCAAGUCUUUAUGGCUUGUGAGGGUCUUCGCGUGCAUAAGUUAAAAUCUAAUUCAGCUCUGGACUCAAUCCUAUGACUCGGUCCGUACCGUAGUCCGCAUCAGGUGUCCGAGGCUAGCAGCCUCUGACCUAUUAGAGCAAUGUAGUAAGGGAAGUCGGCAAAAUAGACUUG